GACGAACGCUGGCGGCGUGCCUUAGACAUGCAAGUCGAACGGAGUAGCAAUACUCAGUGGCGAACGGCGGAGUAAUGCAUAAGCAACGUGCCCCAAAGACUGGGAUAGUCGAGGGAAACCACGGGUAAUACCAGAUGUGGUCCUUAGAUGGCAUCAUCGAGGGAUUAAAUCGAGCAAUCGGCUUUGGGAGCGGCUUAUGUCCUAUCAGCUUGUUGGUGAGGUAACGGCUCACCAAGGCUACGACGGGUAGGGGGUCUGAGAGGAUGAUCCCCCCGAGUGGGACUGCGACACGGCCCACACACCUACGGGUGGCAGCAGUUUGGAAUAUUGCACAAUGGGGGAAACCCUGAUGCAGCGACGCCGCGUGGAGGACGAAGGAUCUAGGUCUGUAAACUCCUUUUGCCAGGAAAGACUUAGGACGGUACCUGGCGAAUAAGCCCCGGCUAACUACGUGCCAGCAGCCGCGGUAAGACGUAGGGGGCGAGCGUUGUCCGGAUUUACUGGGCGUAAAGAGCGCGUAGGCGGCUAGUUAAGUGAGAAGUGAAAUCUCCAGGGCUCAACCCGGAAACUGCUUUUCAUACUGGCCAGCUGGAGGGACGCAGGGGUGACUGGAAUUCCCGGUGUAGCGGUGAAAUGCAUUGAUAUCGGGAGGAACUCCAACAGCGAAGGCAGGUCACUGGGCGUUUCCUGACGCUGAGGCGCGAAAGCGUGGGUAGCAAACAGGAUUAGAUACCCUGGUAGUCCACGCCCUAAACGAUGGAUACUAGACGUAAGAGGUAUCGACCCCUCUUGUGUCGCAGCUAACGCAUUAAGUAUCCCGCCUGGGAAGUACGGCCGCAAGGUUGAAACUCAAAUGAAUUGACGGGGACCCGCCAAGCCGUGGAGCAUGUGGAUUAUUCGAUACUAACCGAAGAACCUUACCCAGGUUUGACAUCGAUGGUAAGCCCGAGAGAUCGGGCCCUCUCUCACAAGGAGACCUGAAGACAGAUGUUGCAUGGCUGUCGUCAGCUCGUGCCGUGAGGUGUACGGUUAAGUCCGCCAACGAGCGCAACCCUCGUCCUAUGUUGCCAGCGAGUAAUGUCGGGAACUCAUAGGAGACCGCCGGUGUAAGCCGGAGGAAGGUGGGGAUGAUGUCAAGUCAGCAUGGCUCUUACGCCUGGGGCUUCACACAUGCUACAAUGGGCGCAACAAAGGGCACCGAAGCCGUGAGGUGGAGGCAAUCCCAAAAAUACGCCCCCAGUUCAGAUUGCAGUCUGCAACUCGACUGCAUGAAGGCGGAAUCGCUAGUAAACGCAGGUCAGCUAUACUGCGUUGAAUACGUUCCCGGGUCUUGUACACACCGCCCGUCAAGUCACCUGAAUUGUCUUCACCCGAAGUCCGUGGCCUAACCGUAAGGAGGGAGCGGCCGAAGGUGAGGGGAGUAAGGGGGACUA
rnacentral:rRNA from 1 species